rnacentral:rRNA from 1 species
AUUCAAUCCACUCUGUGUAUUAUUCCAUGUUGCUUCCCUUAAGCGUGAUUUGCUCACGUUGCCUUGACUUUCGAGUCUAGGUGGAGAGUUCUCAUGGGAGGUUAUCAUUAAACCACUUGCAAUUAAUGCCAUCAGUCUGACAGUUUAUAAUUAAACAUUUAAAACUUUCAACAACGGAUCUCUUGGUUCUCGCAUCGAUGAAGAACGCAGCGAAAUGCGAUAAGUAGUGUGAAUUGCAGAAUUCAGUGAAUCAUCGAAUCUUUGAACGCACAUUGCGCCUCCUGGUAUUCCGGGAGGCAUGCCUGUUCGAGCGUCAUUAAAACCAUCUCGAGCAUUAUUGCUUGGUAUUGUUGGAAGAGCAAGUCUAUUAGAUAUGCUCCCCAUCGAAAUUUAACGGCGGAAAGCCCUGUGUUCCAUAAGCGUCAUAAGUAUUCUCUUUCGCUCUUUACACAAUGUUAUCCAGCCACAAACCCCCAAUUAUUUUCUAGGUUGACCUCGGAUCAGGUAGGGAUACCCGCUGAACUUAAGCAUAUCAAUAAGCGGAGGAAAAGAAACCAACAGGGAUUGCCUUAGUAACUGCGAGUGAAGCGGCAAAAGCUCAAAUUUGAAAUCUGGCACCUUUGGUGUCCGAGUUGUAAUUUGGAGGGGCAUCUUCGAAGCUGGCGCCGUCCUAAGUUCCUUGGAACAGGACGUCACAGAGGGUGAGAAUCCCGUGCCUGGAUGGCUGUCCAGCUUCAUGUGAAGUGUCUCCGACGAGUCGAGUUGUUUGGGAAUGCAGCUCAAAAUGGGUGGUAAAUUUCAUCUAAAGCUAAAUAUUGGCGAGAGACCGAUAGCGCACAAGUAGAGUGAUCGAAAGAUGAAAAGCACUUUGAAA